AUUGAACGCUAGCGGCAUGCUUUACACAUGCAAGUCGAACGCGUGGCGGACGGGAGCGAAAUCUAUCGGAACGUGCCCAGUAGCGGGGGAUAACUACUCGACAGAGGGGCUAAUUCCGCAUACUAUUGGAGCGCCCGAUAUCGGAUGAGCUAGUUGUGGGGGUAAAGGCUCACCAAGGCAAAGCUCCGUAGCUGGUUUGAGAGGAAGACCAGCCACACUGGGACUGAGACACGGCCCAGACUCCUACGGGAGGCAGCAGUGGGGAAUUUUGGACAAUGGUGGAAACCCUGAUCCAGCCAUCCCGCGUGUAUGAGAAGGCCUUCGGGUUGUAAAGUACUUUUGGCAGAGAAGCGGUAUCUGCAGAAUAAGCACCGGCUAACUACGUGCCAGCAGCCGCGGUAAUUC
rnacentral:rRNA from 1 species